UAUCCAUCUGAAAAAGAAAAGCUGGCACUCGCAAAGGAGAUAGUGUUGUUGGAUUAUGGUCUCAUUUGGUCAAAAUGAGGGACAUGUACUUGGAUUUAUAAAAAUGAGACUACAGAACAUCAGACGGAAGCUUCAAUGGAGUUGACGUGAGAGGACAUCAUCAAUAAAGAAUGCCAUUGACCAAACCUUCAGUCAUCAACGGAGAUGGAUACAGGUGGACAUCAAGUUUUCCAGACUUACCGAUAGGAAAGAAGACAUGUUUAUCAGGAAAUGGGAGGUGACAAUUAUUGAGAAACUCAGGGAAAUAGCAUCUUUAGAGAAGAAAAUGGACAUCAGACAUUCAUUGAAGAAAGCUGACAGUCAACAUAAUGAUCUUCUGCUGUGUGAAUUCUGUGUGAAGUCUCAGACCUGUGGGACUUGGUGGCGGCUGGUACCAGCGUGACCUCUUUGCUUACUAAAUGAUGAAAAGGUGUCUAAAAUCAGCUCAGCCACAGUUGGUUUCCAGCGGUUCUUCAGGACAUAGAGGCCACUAUGUAAUUGUCGCAAUGAAUGAUUCUCUUGCCUUUCCACUUGAUGUUUACAAUCUGACCUGUGCGGUAGAAAGACUUUUCAAAUUUACUAGCUAAGUAACCUUAAGUAUCCCUGCCAACUGUCUUCAGGUUUUUUUUUUGGUAUGAAUAUGAUCUACCCUUGUCCCAGUCCUCUUGCAAACGAUCCAAGCCAAUGGAGUUUCAAAAUGGACCGAAAAUUGCAGUCUGUUUUAACCAAUGCAUGCACUGUGUGGCGGUUUCCCGGACAGGGAUUAGACUAGUCCUAGACUAAAACAUUUUUAAGAGCUGUCCAAACUGAAAACAACUUGCACUGACAUAUCUUAAAAUACAUCAGUGCCCUUUGUUUUGCCUCAAAAUGCACACAGGUAAUGUUUUUAGUAAGGCAUGUUUGUUAAAACCAGAUAUAUUUCCUAAUUAAUCUAAGGCCUAGUCCUGGAUUAAGAUAAUCCCUGUCCGGGAAACCCCCCCUAAAUAUUUUGUGAUGGAAAUUUCUUUGAAUACACUUGUCAAGUUCAUUUGAAGUAUUUUUCUUA